rnacentral:rRNA from 1 species
CACUCCUGCGGGAGGCAGCAGUGGGGAAUUUUGGACGAUGGGCGAAAGCCUGAUCCAGCAAUGCCGCGUGAGUGAAGAAGGCCUUCGGGUUGUAAAGCUCUUUUGUCAGGGAAGAAACGGUGAAAGCUAAUAUCUUUUGCUAAUGACGGUACCUGAAGAAUAAGCACCGGCUAACUACGUGCCAGCAGCCGCGGUAAUACGUAGGGUGCAAGCGUUAAUCGGAAUUACUGGGCGUAAAGCGUGCGCAGGCGGUUUUGUAAGUCUGAUGUGAAAUCCCCGGGCUCAACCUGGGAAUUGCAUUGGAGACUGCAAGGCUAGAAUCUGGCAGAGGGGGGUAGAAUUCCACGUGUAGCAGUGAAAUGCGUAGAUAUGUGGAGGAACACCGAUGGCGAAGGCAGCCCCCUGGGUCAAGAUUGACGCUCAUGCACGAAAGCGUGGGGAGCAAACAGGAUUAGAUACCCCAGUAGUCCCAUGA